UCCUGGCUCAGAUUGAACGCUGGCGGCAUGCCUUACACAUGCAAGUCGAACGGCAGCGGACCUUCGGGUGCCGGCGAGUGGCGAACGGGUGAGUAAUAUAUCGGAACGUACCUUUCAGUGGGGGAUAACGUAGCGAAAGUUACGCUAAUACCGCAUAUUCUGUGAGCAGGAAAGCAGGGGAUCGCAAGACCUUGCGCUGAUUGAGCGGCCGAUAUCAGAUUAGCUAGUUGGUGAGGUAAAGGCUCACCAAGGCGACGAUCUGUAGCGGGUCUGAGAGGAUGAUCCGCCACACUGGAACUGAGACACGGUCCAGACUCCUACGGGAGGCAGCAGUGGGGAAUUUUGGACAAUGGGCGCAAGCCUGAUCCAGCCAUGCCGCGUGAGUGAAGAAGGCCUUCGGGUUGUAAAGCUCUUUCGGCCGGGAAGAAAUCGCACAGGUUAAUACCCUGUGUGGAUGACGGUACCGGAAUAGGAAGCACCGGCUAACUACGUG
rnacentral:rRNA from 1 species